AGUAGUAGAUACUACAAGAAAGUUUGAUUCAUAUUCAUGAUUCAUCAUGAUUCAUUACUGAUGUAAGGAAGCCAUCUUGACAUUACAAACCAAGGGCAAAGCAGAUGAUAUGGAGUGCUGCUGACCUAGAUGUCAUACGUAAGACUCAAAAAGCUGUGGCAUAAGCCCCUGACCCUUCCAGGGAUGAUGCAUUCUUUGAUAGAGAUGGGAAAUAGACUUCAAGAAGACUCCCAGCUGAGUGCAGAGCCCAACAUGGGGUUAGAUCUCACGAUCCACGAGUCAUGACCUGAGCUGAAA